rnacentral:rRNA from 1 species
UAGGGAAUAUUGCACAAUGGGCGCAAGCCUGAUGCAGCAACGCCGCGUGAACGAUGAAGGUCUUCGGAUCGUAAAGUUCUGUUGCAGGGGAAGAUAGUGACGGUACCUGCACAAGAAGCCCCGGCUAACUACGUGCCAGCAGCCGCGGUAAUACGUAGGGGGCGAGCGUUAUCCGGAUUCAUUGGGCGUAAAGCGCGCGCAGGCGGCUCUUCAAGCGGAACCUCUAACCCCGGGGCUCAACCUCGGGCCGGGUUCCGAACUGGAGGGCUCGAGUGCGGUAGAGGCAGGCGGAAUUCCCGGUGUAGCGGUGGAAUGCGCAGAUAUCGGGAAGAACACCGAUGGCGAAGGCAGCCUGCUGGGCCGGCACUGACGCUGAGGCGCGAAAGCUAGGGGAGCGAACAGG